CUUUUCUUUCAGAGAGUAGUCUGAAAGGAUUAGAAGAUCCAUGGAAAUGGAAGCUUUCAGAAGGAGGAAGGGUGAGGUCUGUCUUGAAGAACUCAUCCCCACAGAAGCAAGAGGGAGCCUGUGCCAGUAACUCCUGUGGGAGGCCUAGCUGGGACACCAUCAUUGGCACAACCCCUGUUCUCAGGCAGGUUUUCAGCCCAUUUCAAGGACUAGCUCAGCUCCUGCCUCUAGAGCUUUGGUCUGCUUGGAAACUCAGAUAUCAAUAAGGCAGUUAAGUUUAUAUAUUGAAUCAUAUGAAGUGUGGAUUAUGCAGAACAGCCCACCUCUACUUUUGAGUGAAAGGAGGUCAACAUUUUACAGGACUUUACAGGACAGAACCCUAAGUACUGCAAGAGUUCCUGACACCAGUGAAUGAAUCCAUGCAGCAGAUCAUAAACACAUCACCAAGUCAUGAUUUUGGAGCAUCACUUCCUGCUGAUACCUAAAUAUUAAUGUAAGUGAAACCUGAAGGGGUUGCUUUUAGUGUGUGGUGAAUGUUGCAUUGUCACCAGGUGACCAGUGUUUUUUUUUUUAAUCAUUGAAUGUGCUCCUUUAUCAAAGUGUCUUUGAGAUAAAUAGAAGUAAGGCUUGAGGCGAUUUGUUUAAAUCCUGACAAUGGCUUGAGGUGGAAUUAUCCUGGGCUUAAGGACGUAUUGAGAGAAGUAUCAAGACAUAGGAUGCAGCUGAGCAAAGGUAGAUACAAAUAGUGUAAGCAGUGAUAACUGAACUAGUCACCAUAGCACAAGGUACUAAGAGGUCUCAAUUCACAUUCUCCUAAAUGUCUGAAAUAGUUAGGAUGAACCAGAGCCUGCAGGUGCUAUUUUUUCCAAUCAGCUACUAGAGGGAUGUGAAUGAGCAGCUGAUGUGCAGCUCUCUGCCACCAGGCGUGGUGAGGUGAGCUCUGUUCCCAGUCCCUGCUGAAAAGGACUGAGUGCCCUCCCCUCUGCAAAACAUGGUGGAGGUGAAAGAGGGUCUGAGCAAACAUUCAGUGCUGCAGAGGUCAGUGCUUUAGUCUGGGCGGCUAGAAGCAGAAUUCUGUUGGUCAAGAAUCAUUAAAUAAAAAUGGUAUGUAAAGGAUCGGCAAUCAUUGUUGAUAAUAAGCAUCAAGACUAUCAGAGGUACUCCAAAGAGAAAUAAGUCACAAAAAGAAAAUAGAAGCAGCUUAAUACUGCAACAUCAGAACCCCAGACUGUACUCAGAACAGUCUUUAAUCACCACCUUCACCAUGUCCAUUUGUAACUCGUACUUGUUGAAACAUUAUGCUUGCCUUUUGCUUAGGGCCUGGUUUUGUGAAGUGCUGAGCAUCCUCAUCUUACAUCAACAUCAACACGUUGUAGACUUUUACCUAGGGAGAGAUGAAAUAUAGCAUAUGAUGUUUCAUAUCACGUAGGUGUGGAAGGCUGUGAAUCAAGGAAACAAUUACUUUUAAAUAAAUGAUGUGCAAAUAGAAAAGUGAUAACGUAAUGCAUGAUUUGAGAGCAGAAGUCCAGCUCCUGUAAAUUAAUUUCAGUAACAGUAAAGAGUGGUGCCACUAACAGUGCUCUUCUAUGAAAUCAAUUGGCAUUUCCACUGUACAACAUGGACUGCUGGAGAUGGUACGUCUGCCAGUUCAAGUCAUACUGAGCUGCAAUUUGGUGUGAAAAAAAUAAGAUUUUUAAAUUGCUGAAAUGAUGGAAUUUCUCUCUUCUCUCCCUCUAUCACAAACAAAACAGAAUUUAGAUUUUAUGUUAUGAACUAUUUGCCAACUCUUGUAUCAUUAACACCUUCCUUUUAUGUGAAUGGAUAAUAGGAAGGAGGAUGAAGAUAAGCUAGCUCAACAUUUAAAAGUUUUGCUCAACACAGUCCUUCCUUUUCACAAGAUUUUUUGAUACAAAAUGAGAAAUACAUUACAAGCCUGAUUUAAUCUUCAUAUUAAAAAAACAGUACAGACGAUUUGUAAUGCUUAAGUAAGCAUAUCCUUCAAAAAAGAGGUGUCAUGAAAAACACUAGAAGUUAAAUUUACUUGCACCAAGGCCUAUGCUAGCAUUUCCAUUGACUCCAGAUGAAGGAAGACUUAGUUCCUGGGAAGUUCAGUUCAAAGAUGGUUGUCUUUCUAUUGGCGAGUCUAGGACUAUGGGCUCUAUGGCCUUCCACAUGAACACUAAAGGGAAUAAAGUGCUACAAGUCCCUGUUUCUGAAAUGAUAAGUAUGUGGAAAUGAAUUACAGUUAUAUGAGUUUUAGAGUCCUACCAAAAUCUCUGGAUUACCACAUCUGCAGUCCUACAAAAGGUAAAUCUUCCCAGGUUCUUGUUAAAUCUGUGACUUAAAGAAGCAGCUCACGACCUGUUUCAGUCUUUGUUAUUACCUUUUUCAAAUAUUUCAGUUACACUUACUAGCUGUAGAAGGUCUGAAACUCUUUGUUUUGGCUGUAUACAGAAUUUUCCAAAUUCACUGUUUGUAAUCUAGAACUAAAGACUGGUUUAUCUGGGAAUUUUUAAAUAAAUUGGU